rnacentral:rRNA from 1 species
CAGGCCUAACACAUGCAAGUCGUACGGGAGUUUUUAACUCAAGUGGCGGACGGGUGAGUAAUGCGUAGGAAGCUACCCGAUAGAGGGGGAUACCAGUUGGAAACGACUGUUAAUACCGCAUAAUGUCUACGGACCAAAGUGUGGGACCUUCGGGCCACAUGCUAUCGGAUGCGCCUACGUGGGAUUAGCUAGUUGUGGGGUAAUGGCUCACCAAGGCGACGAUCCCUAGCUGGUUUGAGAGGAUGAUCAGCCACACUGGAACUGAGACACGGUCCAGACUCCUACGGGAGGCAGCAGUGGGGAAUAUUGGACAAUGGGCGCAAGCCUGAUCCAGCCAUGCCGCGUGUGUGAAGAAGGCCUUCGGGUUGUAAAGCACUUUCAGCGAGGAGGAAGGGUUAGUAGUUAAUAGCUGCUAAUUUUGACGUUACUCGCAGAAGAAGCACCGGCUAACUCUGUG